UCCCAGGUGGUCCAGUGGCUAAGACUCUGCGCUCCCAAUGCAGGGGACCUGGGUUUAAUUCCUGGGUCGGGGAA
rnacentral:tRNA from 1 species